UUGAAAGGUUGAGAUCCAACUUUAAACUGUCUAUAGGUGUGCAUGUGAGUGUGCAUGUGUUGUUUGUCUAUAUUUGCCCUGCGACAGACUGGCGUCCUGUCCAGGGUGAACCCCGCCUCACACCUAUGACAUGCUGGGAUAGGCUCCUGGACCCCAUGACCUUUAAUUGGAGUAAUCAGUUGAAGAUGAAUG